AAAUUCUAUAUCCCGGGCGUGGCUCACGUAAAAGCCUUAACACAAUUAAUCUGCAAAGAUGAGGAAGGCGCCUUGAGGACCAUGGAGACGUUUCAUACCAAAACGCCCAUCGUGGCCCAUGUGGUAGCUGGCAUAGCUAAGCUGGCCGGUGAGGACAAAAUUGGCCGAAAAAUGCUGGGAUGGAGGCAACAGCAGCCUCAACGCCCUACCGGUCGUUGGUCACGUUAAAGGACUCGGUCACUACAUUUGCUUGGACAUCGAAGGAGGUGAACAAGGCCAUGGUCGAUGCCACCAGCACGAACGCUCAACAUCGCUGAUGGCGUCCCGGUCGUUGGGCACGCAAAAGGUGUCAUCCACUACGUUUGUAGAGACGUCGAUGGAGGUAACAAGGCUAUGAAAGCGGCCACGCGGACAACGGCCGUGAUAGGAGCCGGCGCCGGUGGAUUCCUCAUCGGCGGUCCGGUGCUGGGGCUGUGUAUAGUGGCGUCAGUGCCGGAGCUGGAUGGGACACGAUCAAUGCCUCCGUAACCGAUUGGAAAGAAGUCAACGGAUUAGCCAAAAUCAUCGAAAACCCAACAAGCGUCGAUUCCUAUUUCGACGCCGGCUUGAGCUUCGUCGGCGACGGUAUGGCGGGAUAUUCCGGGGGCAAGAUUGCCAAAGAAGUGGUCCGCCGUGUUGGCAAUAAAGCAGCCGGCGGAAAUGCGAGCCCGGCAGCACCCGCAGGAGAGGCAGAAAUAGCAGCAGCCCAGCAACUGGUCGAAGACCUCGAUGCAGGCAAAAUUACCUUUGAGGAAUACCAACAGAAGUGGGACGCCAUGAAACCAAAGGUGAACGCAGACCAAUUGCAGUCGUACUACGACAAUGGGAUCAUCACUGAAAAGCAAUACAAUCAAGCGACGAAGGAAAUGGCCGCGGCUGGUGGCAAAAAUGUGACCGUUAAUGUUCCACUAAACCAAGCACCGACCUCCGAUUGUGCCAGUGGCAACCAGCCUCCACAAAAACCUACCGAGAACAAAAGAUCAAAGCCGGCAUGUCGCGUUUCGGUGCUGCGCCAGCGGCUUACCGAAUUACUUAAUCGUAUACGUCAAUUCAUUAGUCGCUAAGAUGGCAGACAAUGGAGCCGACGCAGACAGGCUAUUUCAAAGGGAAUCUUUCCGUCAGAUAUACGAGAUCGUUUCAGAAUUGAUCUCCAACGGUCAUUCUGUUGCUAUUAGGCAUGACAACUACGAACUCGUCAUCUAUUCUCGUGAUGGCUCGUGGAAUGAAGGGAUCGAGUACGAAGUGGUCCUAUUUUUUGGACAUCCACAAACAGCUGAUCGGCCAGCAAUUCGACCUCGAUCCCGCGUCGUCCGUGCCCUACAGUCUUGUCGGCAGAAUUCCAAGGAUCGGGACUCCAUCUGACAAGGCAAGUGGACCACGGCGGCCACACCAACGUCAUCUACGGGAUUCGCUGCCGGCUUUGCCCCGGCAACAUCAGCUAUGUCGGUCAGACUACUCGAUCAGUACAUGCUCGGGUGUGCCUUGAACACGCCAGGUCCUUAGCAAAGGCGAUCAACGAGGUGUACGAUUCUGGCGAAGCAUCGCGUCGACCUAUGUGCGAACACGCCGCUAAUCACUACCAAAAACAAGAACCUGAAUAUAACCAACCGAGGAAUGUCUUUCGACAGGGGAUGGACGUGAUCCUUCUGCCAAUAACUGGAGGAAAAGACGACCUUCGCUACUGGGAAUGCUUUUGGCAGUUUUUUCUUCACUGCAGGAAGUACUACUGGGGCUGGAGUCAACGCUAAGACUGAACUGGUGGAGAACAGGAAAUUUGCUCAGAAGUACAGUUUCCCUCCUAACAAUUGUUUACUUUUUGAAACAUGGCAAGUAGUGGCAUCAUUAGCAGGUAGAGAAAUCAUCAGCAGGUUUGAUGCUGAUAGCAUAUAACCGCAUUUAACCAUCAUUGCUUUUUAAAACAUGACCGGCAGUGCAACCAUCAGGAGGGUCGAUACUGAAAGAAUAUAACCGCAUAUAACCAUCAGGUUUGCUUGCCUUAUUUUCCCCCUCUCUCUUGAACUGCAUUAUAUAACAGACAUGAGGUAGCAAAUAGAUAACUGAUGCUCCUUUCGUUUUGUUAUACACAGUUUGUCUGUAAUCUGUACUGGUCUACAUAAUACAAAGUUACUAAUUUUCGAAA